UCAAAGGAAUUGACCGGGGCCCGCACCAGCGGUGGAGCAUUUGGUUUAAUUNGAAGCAACGCGAAGAACCUUNCCCUGGUCUUGACAUCCUCUGACACUCCUAGAGAUAGGACUUUCCCCUUCGGGGGACAGAGUGACAGGUGGUGCAUGGUUGUCGUCAGCUCGUGUCGUGAGAUGUUGGGUUAAGUCCCGCAACGAGCGCAACCCUUGAUCUUAGUUGCCAGCAUUUAGUUGGGCACUCUAAGGUGACUGCCGGUGACAAACCGGAGGAAGGUGGGGAUGACGUCAAAUCAUCAUGCCCCUUAUGACCUGGGCUACACACGUGCUACAAUGGAUGGUACAAAGGGCAGCGAAACCGCGAGGUUAAGCCAAUCCCAUAAAACCAUUCUCAGUUCGGAUUGCAGNCUGCAACUCGCCUGCAUGAAGCCGGAAUCGCUAGUAAUCGCGGAUCAGCAUGCCGCGGUGAAUACGUUCCCGGGCCUUGUACACACCGCCCGUCACACCACGAGAGUUUGUAACACCCGAAGUCGGUGGGGUAACCGUAAGGAGCCAGCCGCCUAAGGUGGGACAGAUGAUUGGGGUGAAGUCGUAACAAGGUAGCCGUAUNGGAAGGUGCGGCUGGAU
rnacentral:rRNA from 1 species